rnacentral:lncRNA from 1 species
GGGGACCUCAGUGGUGUGGGCCGAUUGUCCCCAAGGGAAAGGCUAGAGGCAGAUGGGCUCCCGCCUGUGGGCCAGACCCCAGCCUACCUCGCUUAUUCUGCGUGCCGUGCUUCUUGGCCAGGGCGAUUUCUCUCUGGAUUCGAUUUUCCAGAUUUUCUUCCAUUUGUGUGUGAUGAUUGUUCAGGAAUAUUUUGCCUUGAACACAGAAGCAGGGAGUCUCAUGGUUGUCCUGAGGUGACUGUAAUCAAUGAGAGACUGAAGACAGAUCAACAUACAUCUUACCCAUGCUCUUUCAAAGACUGUGCUGAGAGAGAACUUGUGGCAGUUAUAUGUCCUUAUUGUGAGAAGAAUUUUUGCCUGAGUGUCACUCUUCUGUUGCUCAUAGACACCGUCAUCAGUCAGAUCAUGAGUGUGAAAAACUGGAAAUCCCAAAGCCUCGAAUGGCUGCCACUCAGAAACUUGUUAAAGACAUUAUUGGUAAGUAUCUAGAAAGCGUGUUUUGUUGCUUUCCUAGUUCCAGAGCUCCUGCUUCUUAUAUCUACUUUCCAAUUAUGGGAGGCAUCAUUAAUAACCCCAGUGGUAUUCGUAUUAACUUGUAUUUUGAUGAUAUUCUUGUGACAGUAUUUCUUAUGAGGUCUACCUGACCGAUGGAAAUUUGGAAAUUAUUUGGAGGUACUCCACUGUAAGUACUUAUCUCUUUUGCUGAGCCACUUAGAUUAGCUAGUUAACCAUUGGGCUAGAAAUGGUAUUCAUGAGAUUGAAGUAGUCAGCUGCUUUCUCUACAGAUUAAACUCUAAGCCUAGUCAGCUGUUCUGUGAAUGCUGCUGAUAAUAAGAGAUAC